GGAUAGAGUACUCGGCUACGAACCGAGCGGUCGGAGGUUCGAAUCCUCCCGGAUGCACCA
rnacentral:tRNA from 2 species